CCUACGGGAGGCAGCAGUGGGGAAUUUUGGACAAUGGGGGCAACCCUGAUCCAGCCAUGCCGCGUGCGGGAAGAAGGCCUUCGGGUUGUAAACCGCUUUUAGCCGGGACGAAAAGGCAGGGGCUAAUACCUUCUGUUGUUGACGGUACCGGCGGAAUAAGCACCGGCUAACUACGUGCCAGCAGCCGCGGUAAUACGUAGGGUGCGAGCGUUAAUCGGAAUUACUGGGCGUAAAGCGUGCGCAGGCGGUUCGUUGUGUCGGUGGUGAAAGCCCCGGGCUCAACCUGGGAAUGGCCAUGGAAACUGGCGAACUGGAGUGUGGCAGAGGGGGGUGGAAUUCCGCGUGUAGCAGUGAAAUGCGUAGAGAUGCGGAGGAACACCGAUGGCGAAGGCAGCCCCCUGGGCUAGCACUGACGCUCAGGCACGAAAGCGUGGGGAGCAAACAGGAUUAGAUACCCUGGUAGUCCACGCCCUAAACGAUGUCAACUGGGUGUUCGGGAAGCGAUUUCUGAGUACCGUAGCUAACGCGUGAAGUUGACCGCCUGGGGAGUACGGCCGCAAGGUUAAAACUCAAAGGAAUUGACGG
rnacentral:rRNA from 1 species